GCAGACACAUUACAGCCAAUCAGCAGCAGACCCUUCCUCCCAGACCCUCCCACCUCCUGGACAGCUCACUAAGAAUGCAGCUUCACAAUGAAUGUAAAAUGGAUGCUGUCCAGGAGGUGGAAGGGUAUGGGAGGGAGGGUCUGCUGCUGAUUGGCUGGAAUGUGUCU